GAGGAAUAUUGGACAAUGGGCGGGAGCCUGAUCCAGCCAUGCCGCGUGCAGGAAGACCGCCCUAUGGGUCGUAAACUGCUUUUGUACGGGAAGAACCGGGGGCACGCGUGCCCUCCUGACGGUACCGUAAGAAUAAGGAUCGGCUAACUCCGUGCCAGCAGCCGCGGUAAUACGGAGGAUCCGAGCGUUAUCCGGAAUCAUUGGGUUUAAAGGGUCCGUAGGCGGGCCGUUAAGUCAGGGGUGAAAGUCUGCGGCUCAACCGUAGCACUGCCCUUGAUACUGGCGGCCUGGAGUUAUGGUGAAGUGGCCAGAAUAUGUGGUGUAGCGGUGAAAUGCAUAGAUAUCACAUGGAAUACCGAUUGCGAAGGCAGGCCACUAACCAUAUACUGACGCUGAUGGACGAAAGCGUGGGGAGCGAAC
rnacentral:rRNA from 1 species